rnacentral:rRNA from 1 species
UCUAAGUCCCUUGGAACGGGGCGUCAUAGAGGGUGAGAAUCCCGUAUGUGACCGGCGACCAAGCCCAUGUGAAACUCCUUCGACGAGUCGAGUUGUUUGGGAAUGCAGCUCAAAAUGGGUGGUAAAUUUCAUCUAAAGCUAAAUACCGGCCAGAGACCGAUAGCGCACAAGUAGAGUGAUCGAAAGAUGAAAAGCACUUUGGAAAGAGAGUCAAACAGUACGUGAAAUUGUUGAAAGGGAAGCGCUUGCAACCAGACCUGCCCGCGGGCGAUCAGCCGUCCCUUCGGGGGCGGUGUAUUCGCCCGCGAUCAGGCCAGCAUCGGUUCGGGCGGCCGGAUACAGGCCUUGGGAAUGUAGCUUCUUUCGGGGAGUGUUAUAGCCCUCGGUGCAAUGCGGCCAGCCCGGACCGAGGACCGCGCUUCGGCUAGGAUGCUGGCGUAAUGGUUGUAAGCGCGNAAGUCUUGAACAAGGACCAAGGAGUCUAACAUCUAUGCGAGUGUUUGGGUGUCAAACCCAUACGCGUAAUGAAAGUGAACGGAGGUGGGAACCAGCGAGGGCGCACCAUCGACCGAUCCAGAUGUCUUCGGAUGGAUUUGAGUACAAGCAUAGCUGUUGGGACCCGAAAGAUGGUGAACUAUACUUGAAUAGGGUGAAGCCAGAGGAAACUCUGGUGGAGGCUCGCAGCGGUUCUGACGUGCAAAUCGAUCGUCAAAUUUGAGUAUAGGGGCGAAAGACUAAUCGAACCAUC